rnacentral:rRNA from 1 species
GUAGGUGGCAAGCGUUGUCCGGAAUUAUUGGGCGUAAAGCGCGCGCAGGCGGUCCUUUAAGUCUGAUGUGAAAGCCCACGGCUCAACCGUGGAGGGUCAUUGGAAACUGGGGGACUUGAGUACAGAAGAGGAAAGCGGAAUUCCAAGUGUAGCGGUGAAAUGCGUAGAGAUUUGGAGGAACACCAGUGGCGAAGGCGGCUUUCUGGUCUGUAACUGACGCUGAGGCGCGAAAGCGUGGGGAGCAAACAGGGAUUAGAUACCCCGGUAGUCCACGCCGUAAACGAUGAGUGCUAAGUGUUAGGGGUUUCCGCCCCCUAGUGCUGCAGCUAACGCAUUAAGCACUCCGCCUGGGGAGUACGGCCGCAAGGCUG